rnacentral:rRNA from 1 species
AUGUGGGAAGGCCCAGACAGCCAGGAUGUUGGCUUAGAAGCAGCCAUCAUUUAAAGAAAGCGUAAUAGCUCACUGGUCGAGUCGGCCUGCGCGGAAGAUGUAACGGGGCUAAACCAUGCACCGAAGCUGCGGCAGCGACACUAUGUGUUGUUGGGUAGGGGAGCGUUCUGUAAGCCUGCGAAGGUGUGCUGUGAGGCAUGCUGGAGGUAUCAGAAGUGCGAAUGCUGACAUAAGUAACGAUAAAGCGGGUGAAAAGCCCGCUCGCCGGAAGACCAAGGGUUCCUGUCCAACGUUAAUCGGGGCAGGGUGAGUCGACCCCUAAGGCGAGGCCGAAAGGCGUAGUCGAUGGGAAACAGGUUAAUAUUCCUGUACUUGGUGUUACUGCGAAGGGGGGACGGAGAAGGCUAUGUUGGCCGGGCGACGGUUGUCCCGGUUUAAGCGUGUAGGCUGGUUUUCCAGGCAAAUCCGGAAAAUCAAGGCUGAGGCGUGAUGACGAGGCACUACGGUGCUGAAGCAACAAAUGCCCUGCUUCCAGGAAAAGCCUCUAAGCAUCAGGUAACAUCAAAUCGUACCCCAAACCGACACAGGUGGUCAGGUAGAGAAUACCAAGGCGCUUGAGAGAACUCGGGUGAAGGAACUAGGCAAAAUGGUGCCGUAACUUCGGGAGAAGGCACGCUGAUAUGUAGGUGAAGUCCCUCGCGGAUGGAGCUGAAAUCAGUCGAAGAUACCAGCUGGCUGCAACUGUUUAUUAAAAACACAGCACUGUGCAAACACGAAAGUGGACGUAUACGGUGUGACGCCUGCCCGGUGCCGGAAGGUUAAUUGAUGGGGUCAGCGCAAGCGAAGCUCUUGAUCGAAGCCCCGGUAAACGGCGGCCGUAACUAUAACGGUCCUAAGGUAGCGAAAUUCCUUGUCGGGUAAGUUCCGACCUGCACGAAUGGCGUAAUGAUGGCCAGGCUGUCUCCACCCGAGACUCAGUGAAAUUGAACUCGCUGUGAAGAUGCAGUGUACCCGCGGCAAGACGGAAAGACCCCGUGAACCUUUACUAUAGCUUGACACUGAACAUUGAGCCUUGAUGUGUAGGAUAGGUGGGAGGCUUUGAAGUGUGGACGCCAGUCUGCAUGGAGCCGACCUUGAAAUACCACCCUUUAAUGUUUGAUGUUCUAACGUUGACCCGUAAUCCGGGUUGCGGACAGUGUCUGGUGGGUAGUUUGACUGGGGCGGUCUCCUCCUAAAGAGUAACGGAGGAGCACGAAGGUUGGCUAAUCCUGGUCGGACAUCAGGAGGUUAGUGCAAUGGCAUAAGCCAGCUUGACUGCGAGCGUGACGGCGCGAGCAGGUGCGAAAGCAGGUCAUAGUGAUCCGGUGGUUCUGAAUGGAAGGGCCAUCGCUCAACGGAUAAAAGGUACUCCGGGGAUAACAGGCUGAUACCGCCCAAGAGUUCAUAUCGACGGCGGUGUUUGGCACCUCGAUGUCGGCUCAUCACAUCCUGGGGCUGAAGUAGGUCCCAAGGGUAUGGCUGUUCGCCAUUUAAAGUGGUACGCGAGCUGGGUUUAGAACGUCGUGAGACAGUUCGGUCCCUAUCUGCCGUGGGCGCUGGAGAACUGAGGGGGGCUGCUCCUAGUACGAGAGGACCGGAGUGGACGCAUCACUGGUGUUCGGGUUGUCAUGCCAAUGGCACUGCCCGGUAGCUAAAUGCGGAAGAGAUAAGUGCUGAAAGCAUCUAAGCACGAAACUUGCCCCGAGAUGAGUUCUCCCUGACUCCUUGAGAGUCCUGAAGGAACGUUGAAGACGACGACGUUGAUAGGCCGGGUGUGUAAGCGCAGCGAUGCGUUGAGCUAACCGGUACUAAUGAACCGUGAGGCUUAACCUU